GUGGGGAAUAUUGGACAAUGGACCAAAAGUCUGAUCCAGCAAUUCUGUGUGCACGAUGAAGUUUUUCGGAAUGUAAAGUGCUUUCAGUUGGGAAGAAGUCAGUGACGGUACCAACAGAAGAAGCGACGGCUAAAUACGUGCCAGCAGCCGCGGUAAUACGUAUGUCGCAAGCGUUAUCCGGAUUUAUUGGGCGUAAAGCGCGUCUAGGCGGCUUAGUAAGUCUGAUGUGAAAAUGCGGGGCUCAACCCCGUAUUGCGUUGGAAACUGCUAAACUAGAGUACUGGAGAGGUAGGCGGAACUACAAGUGUAGAGGUGAAAUUCGUAGAUAUUUGUAGGAAUGCCGAUGGGGAAGCCAGCCUACUGGACAGAUACUGACGCUAAAGCGCGAAAGCGUGGGUAGCAAACAGGAUUAGAAACCCUUGUAGUCC
rnacentral:rRNA from 1 species